ACACCUCAACUCUCGUGGCUUGCCAUGAUGAGCUUGGACUUUGGGGGUCUUGUUGGCCUGUGUGCCAGCUCCUCUUAAAUGAAUUAGCUUGCCGGUGUUUGGUGGCGCCAUGGGUGUGAUAAAUAUCUACGCUUGUGGUUUCCCACCAGCUAACCUUCAGUGAUGGAGGUUCACUGGAGCUUAUAAACGUCUCUCCUUGGAGAGGACGCAUUUUGACC
rnacentral:misc_RNA from 1 species